rnacentral:rRNA from 1 species
AUGGCGGACGAGAGGAGCAGGAGGGGAGGCGCGGAGGCGGGGCCAUAUGUGUCGGACGCGCGCGUUCGCCCGCAGUCAACGCGGACACAGCGGCCGUCCAUGGCGGCUCGGGUCGAUGUAGGAGGACGAGGGGAGGAGCUUGCGAGGCCCGACACCGGUAAUGGAGCGGAGGCGGCUGGAUCUGGCAAUUCUGGAGGGGCUGGCGACGAGCGGCUCCAUGGGCGGCGACCUGCGGGGUUCAAGCGGCGGCUGAAGCGUGAAAAUUUCCACCUCGAGGGACCGACAGGAGUUAUGAAGCGGUUGGAAGCAUUGUGGAAGAUCAUGGAAUUGACAGAUACGGAACUAAUAAACUGGCAAGGAUCAAACAGGCAAAUGGAGUCCUAA